GUUGGUUAGUAAAUUAGACUAAGAAACAAACAUGGAGUUUCGGCACGUACCGAAAUGUAAAGUAAUGAAUUUAUCAAUACUUUUACCUUUAAGAUUAGCUAUGUUUUAGAAUUUUAACAUUUUUAUCUGUAUAUAUUUCUACGAUUUAGUGCUUGUGCAUAAAAAAACGGACUCACCUUGCUCGAAAUCCCACUUCCAACUCAUCGUUGGUGAGCAGGGGACUAAGGGGACUAACGGAAUGAGUACUUAUACUUGUAAAUAAUUGAACAAAUUAUAAAUAAAUAAGUAGUAUAGUAUUUUACCUGAGUUUACCUGUCAAAAAAAUGCGCGCAAUUGUGAU
rnacentral:lncRNA from 1 species